rnacentral:rRNA from 1 species
AUACGGAGGGUGCGAGCGUUAAUCGGAAUUACUGGGCGUAAAGCGUACGUAGGCGGUUUGCUAAGUCAGAUGUGAAAGCCCCGGGCUUAACCUGGGAACUGCAUUUGAUACUGGCAGACUAGAGUAUGAUAGAGGGGGGUAGAAUUCCUGGUGUAGCGGUGAAAUGCGUAGAUAUCAGGAGGAAUACCAGCGGCGAAGGCGGCCCCCUGGAUCAAUACUGACGCUGAGGUACGAAAGCGAGGGGAGCGAACAGGAUUAGAUACCCUAGUAGUCC